UGGGGAAUUUUGGACAAUGGGGGCAACCCUGAUCCAGCAAUGCCGCGUGUGUGAAGAAGGCCUUCGGGUUGUAAAGCACUUUUGUCCGGAAAGAAAACGUCGUGGUUAAUACCCGUGGCGGCUGACGGUACCGGAAGAAUAAGCACCGGCUAACUACGUGCCAGCAGCCGCGGUAAUACGUAGGGUGCAAGCGUUAAUCGGAAUUACUGGGCGUAAAGCGUGCGCAGGCGGUCCGCUAAGACAGAUGUGAAAUCCCCGGGCUUAACCUGGGAACUGCAUUUGUGACUGGCGGGCUAGAGUAUGGCAGAGGGGGGUAGAAUUCCACGUGUAGCAGUGAAAUGCGUAGAGAUGUGGAGGAAUACCGAUGGCGAAGGCAGCCCCCUGGGCCAAUACUGACGCUCAUGCACGAAAGCGUGGGGGAGCAAACAGGAUUAGAUACCCUGGUAGUCCACGCCCUAAACGAUGUCAACUAGUUGUUGGGGAUUCAUUUCCUUAGUAACGUAGCUAACGCGUGAAGUUGACCGCCUGGGGAGUACGGUCGCAAGAUUAAAACUUAAAUGAAUUGACGGGGUCAUA
rnacentral:rRNA from 1 species